UUCGUCGGCUAAGUAGUAGUGCCGCAGGUCGCCAUCGGUGAUCAUCUCUUCGAUCAACAAUAAUGUUGCUUUGGAGUUUGAUGAUUGCAAACCGUGUGAUAAGUCAAGCCGACCUGCACACCGCUACUUAACAGACUAA
rfam:Tetranychus urticae London genomic scaffold, scaffold_9